AGCGGCCGUCGGUGCAGA
rnacentral:snRNA from 1 species